UACGUAGGUGGCAAGCGUUGUCCGGAAUUAUUGGGCGUAAAGCGCGCGCAGGCGGUCCUUUAAGUCUGAUGUGAAAGCCCACGGCUCAACCGUGGAGGGUCAUUGGAAACUGGGGGACUUGAGUGCAGGAGAGAAGAGUGGAAUUCCACGUGUAGCGGUGAAAUGCGUAGAGAUGUGGAGGAACACCAGUGGCGAAGGCGACUCUUUGGCCUGUAACUGACGCUGAGACGCGAAAGCGUGGGGAGCGAACAGG
rnacentral:rRNA from 1 species